rnacentral:rRNA from 1 species
UAAUACCCCAUAAAGAUAUCGAGAGGCAUCUUUUGAUAUUUAAAGUUUCGACGGUACGGGAUGGGCAUGCGUAACAUUAGCUAGUUGGUAGGGUAACGGCCUACCAAGGCGACGAUGUUUAGGGGUCCUGAGAGGGUGAUCCCCCACACUGGUACUGAGACACGGACCAGACUCCUACGGGAGGCAGCAGUGAGGAAUAUUGGUCAAUGGGCGUAAGCCUGAACCAGCCAUCCCGCGUGAAGGAAGACGGCGCUAUGCGUUGUAAACUUCUUUUCCAGAGGAAUAAAAUUUUGUACGAGUACGGAACUGAAGGUACUCUGGGAAUAAGCAUCGGCUAACUCCGUGCCAGCAGCCGCGGUAAUACGGAGGAUGCGAGCGUUAUCCGGAUUUAUUGGGUUUAAAGGGUGCGUAGGCGGAUUAAUAAGUCAGUGGUGAAAACCUUCAGCUUAACUGGAGAACUGCCAUUGAUACUGUUAGUCU